GACAGAGGGGGCAAGCGUUGCUCGGAAUUACUGGGCGUAAAGGGCGCGUAGGCGGGAUGGUAAGUCGGUCGUGAAAUCCCUCGGCUCAACCGAGGAACGUCGAUCGAUACUACCGUUCUUGAGGAUUGCAGAGGAGACUGGAAUUCCCGGUAUAGCGGUGAAAUGUGUAGAGAUCGGGAGGAACACCGGUGGCGAAGGCGGGUCUCUGGGCCGAUACUGACGCUGAGGAGCGAAAGCGUGGGGAGCGAACAGG
rnacentral:rRNA from 1 species